UACGUAGGGGGCAAGCGUUGUCCGGAUUUAUUGGGCGUAAAGCGUCCGCAGGGGGCACUUCAAGUCUGUCGUCAAAGACUGGGGCUUAACCCUGGAAAGGCGGUGGAAACUGAACAGCUAGAGUAUGGUAGGGGCAGAGGGAAUUCCUGGUGUAGCGGUGAAAUGCGUAGAUAUCAGGAAGAACAUCGGUGGCGAAGGCGCUCUGCUGGACCAUAACUGACACUCAGGGACGAAAGCUAGGGGAGCGAAUGGG
rnacentral:rRNA from 1 species